rnacentral:rRNA from 1 species
GAUGAACGCUGGCGGCGUGCCUAACACAUGCAAGUCAAACGAAGCAAUUUAACGGAAGUUUUCGGAUGGAAGUUGAAUUGACUGAGUGGCGGACGGGUGAGUAACGCGUGGGUAACCUGCCUUGUACUGGGGGACAACAGUUAGAAAUGACUGCUAAUACCGCAUAAGCGCACAGUAUCGCAUGAUACAGUGUGAAAAACUCCGGUGGUACAAGAUGGACCCGCGUCUGAUUAGCUAGUUGGUAAGGUAACGGCUUACCAAGGCGACGAUCAGUAGCCGACCUGAGAGGGUGACCGGCCACAUUUGGGACUGAGACACGGCCCAAACUCCUACGGGAGGCAGCAGUGGGGAAUAUUGCACAAUGGGCGAAAGCCUGAUGCAGCGACGCCGCGUGAGUGAAGAAGUAUUUCGGUAUGUAAAGCUCUAUCAGCAGGGAAGAAAAUGACGGUACCUGACUAAGAAGCCCCGGCUAACUACGUGCCAGCAGCCGCGGUAAUACGUAGGGGGCAAGCGUUAUCCGGAUUUACUGGGUGUAAAGGGAGCGUAGACGGUAAAGCAAGUCUGAAGUGAAAGCCCGCGGCUCAACUGCGGGACUGCUUUGGAAACUGUUUAACUGGAGUGUCGGAGAGGUAAGUGGAAUUCCUAGUGUAGCGGUGAAAUGCGUAGAUAUUAGGAGGAACACCAGUGGCGAAGGCGACUUACUGGACGAUAACUGACGUUGAGGCUCGAAAGCGUGGGGAGCAAACAGGAUUAGAUACCCUGGUAGUCCACGCCGUAAACGGAUGAAUAGUAGGUGUUGGGGAGCAAAGUUUUUCGGUCCCUUGCCAACGCCAGUAAGUAUUCCACCUGGGGAGUACGUUCCCAGGAAGGAAAUUCAAAGGAAUGGAGGGGGACCGCCCCAACCGUUGGAGCAUGUGGUUAAUUUGGAAGCAACGGGAGGACCCUUACCAGUUCUUGCCAUCGAUCGACCGGGGGAGUACGUUCCCCUUCCCUUCGGGCCGGAGAAGACAGGUGGUGCAGGGUGUCGUCAGCUCGUGUCGUGAGAUGUUGGGUUAAGUCCCGCAACGAGCGCAACCCUUAUUCUAAGUAGCCAGCGGUUCGGCCGGGAACUCUUGGGAGACUGCCAGGGAUAACCUGGAGGAAGGUGGGGAUGACGUCAAAUCAUCAUGCCCCUUAUGAUCUGGGCUACACACGUGCUACAAUGGCGUAAACAAAGAGAAGCAAGACCGCGAGGUGGAGCAAAUCUCAGAAAUAACGUCUCAGUUCGGACUGCAGGCUGCAACUCGCCUGCACGAAGCUGGAAUCGCUAGUAAUCGCGAAUCAGAAUGUCGCGGUGAAUACGUUCCCGGGUCUUGCACACAGCGCCCGUC